ACUACUGGGCAACACUUUCAGGCCAUGAUGAGACAACAGAUGCUAACUUUGUACCUUUGAGAUGGUAAAAGAGGUUAUGUUUGACAGAUGAUCAGGAGAACUGGAUUAAGUGGCUUUUGCAAAUAAAAUAGCCUGGAAAAGACUAAGCCAGCCAAAAAGUAUGGAAAAAAAUGUGUCAGGUGAGACAGAAAAAUA